UUGCUCACUUCAGAAGCAUGAAUACUGAAACUGGAAUGAUACAGAGAAGAUCAGCAUGGGCCCUGCACAAGAAUAACAUGCUCAUUUACGAAGUGUUAGAAAAAGAA
rnacentral:snRNA from 1 species